CUUCUCGUGGUGUGAUUGGCAAUGCGCCUGUCUAAUGAGUAGGGGUCGUGAGUUCAAGUCUUACCGAGAGGA
rnacentral:tRNA from 1 species